GGUUGUUUGAAAAUGCAUAAAUUCAGAGAUUUUGUGGGUGUAUUAUCUACUUUUAAAAUGUGUUUUGGGCCCUAAACAUAAACCUGUAACGUGUAAUGCAUUUGUAAACACAUUCUCAUCCUUGAUUGUUCUUCUGCUAAACAUGUUGAGGAAAAUGUUUAGAGCUUCAAAAGGUUUAACCCUCUAUGUGUUUAACCUGACAACAUGUUGACGAUAAACAUGUUUUGAUGCAGUAACUGCUACUU
rnacentral:lncRNA from 1 species